ensembl:lncRNA
ACAACCCCUACUCCCCCUCACCCAAUAUGCCUGCCUCCCACGGUGCCAUAAUUUUUGUGGCUGGUGUGAUUCCCAAAUUGUUCUCCAGAACGGAAGUUUCCACCCUGGCCAAUUACAGAGCGACAAUGUGCCAUAUGAUUAAAGGGCAGUGACUUCCACAUUCUGCUGUACAUAUUUGCCUCUUCUACUCCUGAGGAGUCCCAAAGAGGCAAGAUGGAAGGAAAGAACGGUUCUGGCAGCUCUAAUCCAGAAAAUCAUGUUUUCAGUUUGUGUGCUUUGGAAAGGGAGUUGAGUAUGAAGAUGGCACUGUCUGGAGUUGAAAAGAGAGGUGAACGUCUCCAUUCCUCCUCCUCCUCCUCCGUCAAGUUUGACGGAUUUUUUUUUGUUCAAGCAAAGAGACAAACAUUCCUUGUAUUCCAGAGCAGUUCCGUUUUCAAAGAGGCAUAACCCUAAUCCAGCGUCACUUAAGAGGUCAGCUACGGUUGUCCAAGCUUUGCCAAUCAAUGGCCAGAUUCAGCUGUAACUACCGGGGACAACCAUGGCGCCAGAACACCAGAGCCUGGCAACUGGAUGCAGUGCGUUCGAUUUCCCAGCCUGGCUGAAGAACAAAUGAGCCAGCUCAGAAGCCAGGAAACAGUUACAGAAUCGCUCGGGACACAAAGAAGACCCAAGCGGCUCAUGGCAUCCUCCUCUGCUUCCCUGCAUCCCAGCCAAACACCCCCACAAACCAUCUGCAUCGCCCUCGCAGAGGUCCCGCCGUACAAAGUCCCCAUUGUGUUCUGCAUGCAAGUAAUACCUAUGUAUAUUUCAGCAGACGUAAUGUACUGUGGGUGACAGCAGUGAUGAUGACAGCAGCAACAGAAGAACAGAAAGUUGCUGGAGAUGACGUUUUUCCACAUGACGGCAGCAUAACUGUGACUUCCAAAAGCUAGCCAAAACAGGUGGCUCUACUGUUCUCUGCUGAAAGGUUCUCAGGCAUAGAAUUUGAAGGGUCUCCAUAACUGAGAGUGGAGUAUGUCUCUCUCGGUCUUUCCACACUCUUGCUUCCUGAACCAGAUGCAAAGAAAGUAUCACUGCAAAGGACUCUUGGGUCUGUAAGGCAGGCAGGAUCUCAGCUAUACUGGGCUUUGUUGACUAUAAUCCUCCCCAGUGUCCCCAGAAGGAACUCGCAAACCAUUGCAAAAGGUAGUUCAAUUUGCCUGAAAGAUAUUUCUAGCCUUUUAGCACAUUGGCCUAGGGUAAAGCAGUCUGCCUUUUGGCUUGCAGGUCCAUGGAGGUGAGCUCUCCAAAAUUUGAAAACUCUCUGAUUUACAAGUGAUUAUAAAUGCAUCCCAGUGCCUCUGUUUUCGCCCAGAGAGUUGAAAAUGAGGCAGCAGCUGUUGGGCACUAGCUUUGGCUUGACUCACCCCUUUUAGGGGGUAGGUGUUUACACUCUGCAUCAAAACUUCCCUGAAUUUCUUGCAGACAUGAAACUGCUACCAUGGACCAUCUGUCGGAAAUGAUUCCUCCUCUCACCACCUUAGCCAAUUAUCUAACAGUGGGAAGCAAGCUAGAAGGUGAUAUAAGCCUAUCAUGUGCUUCCCCGGGCUUAAGCUGACAGUAUGAAUUCACCUGGGGAAAACACAGCCUCCACUUUGACAUAUCACAGAGCUGAGUUUGGGGUCCUGCGUUGUGUUGAGUUUUAGCCUAAAGAGAGUUGAGACAGAGCUGAGUUUGGGGUCCUGCGUUGUGGUGAGUUUUAGCCUAAAGAGAGUUGAGUUUUCUCUCUCUCUCUCUCUCAUUCCCCCCCCUCGUACCACAAGAAGAUGCAAGAAGCAUCACAACAUGGAUGAUU